GAAAUGCGAUACGUAAUGUGAAUUGCAGAAUUCAGUGAAUCAUCGAGUCUUUGAACGCACAUUGCGCCCCCUGGUAUUCCGGGGGGCAUGCCUGUCCGAGCGUCAUUGCUGCCCUCAAGCACGGCUUGUGUGUUGGGCCCCUGUCCCCCCCCCAAGGGGACGGGCCCGAAAGGCAGCGGCGGCACCGUGUCCGGUCCUCGAGCGUAUGGGAAGCAACUUUUUGUCACCCGCUCCUGUAGGUCCGGCCGGCGGCCUGCCCAACCCCAACCUUUUUUUCAACCAGGUUGACCUCGGAUCAGGUAGGGAUACCCGCUGAACUUAAGC
rnacentral:misc_RNA from 1 species